rnacentral:rRNA from 1 species
UACGUAGGGUGCGAGCGUUAAUCGGAAUUACUGGGCGUAAAGCGUGCGCAGGCGGUUCGUUGUGUCGGCGGUGAAAGCCCCGGGCUACACCUGGGAAUGGCCGUUGAAACUGGCGAACUGGAGUGUGGCAGAGGGGGGUGGAAUUCCGCGUGUAGCAGUGAAAUGCGUAGAGAUGCGGAGGAACACCGAUGGCGAAGGCAGCCCCCUGGGCCUGCACUGACGCUCAGUGCACGAAAGCGUGGGGAGCAAACAGG